rnacentral:rRNA from 1 species
AGUUCAGAUUNUAGGCUGAAACUCGCCUAUAUGAAGUCGGAAUUGCUAGUAAUCGCGGAUCAGCAUGCCGCGGUGAAUACGUUCCCGGGCCUUGUACACACCGCCCGUCACACCAUGAGAGUCGAUAACACCCGAAGCCUGUAGUCUAACAGCAAUGAGGACGCAGUCGAAGGUGGGAUUGAUAAUUAGGGUGAAGUCGUAACAAGGUAUC